rnacentral:rRNA from 1 species
UACGUAGGGUGCAAGCGUUAAUCGGAAUACUGGGCGUAAAGCGUGCGCAGGCGGUGAUGUAAGACAGAUGUGAAAUCCCCGGGCUCAACCUGGGAACUGCAUUUGUGACUGCAUCGCUGGAGUGCGGCAGAGGGGGAUGGAAUUCCGCGUGUAGCAGUGAAAUGCGUAGAUAUGCGGAGGAACACCGAUGGCGAAGGCAAUCCCCUGGGCCUGCACUGACGCUCAUGCACGAAGCGUGGGGAGCAAACAG